GAGGGUGAACGGAGAAGCGCUAAAUACAAUGACGGAAACUUGAGGAGGUUCAAACUGAUGGAUCAAACCUCGGAGACUGGAUUUAGCCUGCCCAGGUGGGCUCACAGAGGCUGGAAGGAAGAGAGUGAUCAGAAAUACGGCCCCAGGGCCUGGCGUGUCAGCAGACUCUUGGUGAGGGUAGGGACCACUGAGAUGGCCUGGAGCUCUCUCAAACAAACAGUCCUGCACCUGUUGAAAAUUCCUCUGCACCCUUCCUCAGCUCUUUUGUCAGCCUCCCUGUUAAUGUGAGAAGGAUAAUGCAUUUUCCAGGCCCACUUCAUCAUCCCCUGGCAACACACUCACAUGCGCACACACACAGCCAUCUAGACGGACCUAGCAGAGUCUCAGCAGAGAGGCGACUAGAUGUCCCCCCUGCAGUUGACUUCUUUGUCCCAAUCUCAGUCCAUGUCCCAUUUUGCUCCAGCUGGGUCCUGGGCCAGGACUGGGAGCUCAGGGAGAUUCAGGAUUCCAUCUUGGAGCUCACAUCUGGCACAGGACAGAAGCAGAGAAGAAGCUGGGAUGUUCAGUGUGCUAAGAGGUAGGGUCUGUACAAGGGCAGGGAUUUAGGGACAGGAAGGAUUGUAGGGGUCAGAGAAAGUGGGACUGAUUUAGAAAAUCUAAGAGCUACCCUUUAGCGAGGCAUCACUAGGUGUGCAGGCCACCUGGCUUCUAUGAUCUCAUUCAGUCCUCGAAUUUCCACCGGGAAGGAGGUCCCACUUCCUUUCUCUGGUUACAGAUGCAGAAACAAGCUACGGGAGGUUAAGAGCGCAGGUUAGUGGCAGAGAUGAGAUUUGACCCAGGGCUACCAACUCAACAGCCCCAUCUCUUAAACUCACUGGGUACUGAGGGAUGACAACCAGCUGUACCCAGAGUGGGUAGAGAAGACAUCAAAAGUGCUUCUGUGACUUAAGAAAAAUGGGAACCUGGAGUCUUCUGUGUUCCAGAGGGUACGUGAGAUGGCGUCCGGCUCUCUGUGCCUGUCACUCCUCAAGCCCUCCCGCCUGCUUGGCAGGGUGAAGGACAGGCUUUCACAGCAGACAAGAGAGGCCAGGGUCACCGCCAGCAAAGGCACACCCAGCGCAGUUCCUGCCGCCUAGACGGGUGCUCUGAUCCUCCGCUGGAAAUGUCACGCGGGAGACAGGCAGGCUCUGAUCUUCAGAGAGCUGUGGAGCAUCUGUGAUGACAUGUGGGCAUCAGGAUUUGCAUAUUUAUUAUAGAUAAGCUGUCAAAAUGUAUGUUGUCAAUUUCACCUUAUACUCCAGAUUUAAUGGUGCGCGUAAAGGACAGAAAAUNNNNNNNNNNNNNNNNNNNNNNNNNNNNNNNNNNNNNNNNNNNNNNNNNNNNNNNNNNNNNNNNNNNNNNNNNNNNNNNNNNNNNNNNNNNNNNNNNNNACAGAAAAUCUUUAAUAUUAAUAUUAAUAUGAUUUUAGAUUAUAAGACCGCAUUGUAGAUAUCAAUCAGCCAACCCUUAAGGACAUGUCACUCAAGUUGAUAUAGUUUAUAGAAAAUUAAUGUAAUCCAUCCUGUAUGAUCUAUUACAGGGGGGCAUGAAGAGAGAGAAGAAUGUGUGUGUGCUUGGGGCAGGGGGGCUGGGGGCCAUUAUUACUCAUCCACAGUUUUGCACUCGCGCUAAUUUGUGUUCGUGCCUGAAACAUCAGAGGGGGGACAUCCGCAUAUUUUAGGCUUGGCACAGACCUCAGAAAUCAGCCAUGCCAACUCCUUCGCUUUGCUGUGAGGGGGCCAGGGGAGAGAGAGGGCGAGAGUCACUGGGUGACUUGGAGGCAGAGGUGGGCUAGAGCCAGGCUUUGUGAUGGCCAGCCCUGCCUCUCUGCCCACUCUGUGCCCUGGGCUCCAGAAGUGGGAGAGCGUCAUUGGUGGAGGCCUCAGGGCUCCCUGGUACACUCCCAUCCCAUCCCCAGCACCCAAACCCAGUGUGGGAGGCUGCCUGAGCAAAUGGUUUCUUCAAACUGUUUCAAAGGAUCCCCAGGGUCCCCUGACCCUAUGAAGGACGCAUCCACAUGACCUGGGGCCUGGAGGGCUGUAGAGAUGUGAUUGUAGAUGGGCCAGGAAAACCCCCAAGUCCCCCAGUGCUCACUCAUGUGCAUCCCAACACCUGAAGCCUUGGCACUGACCCUCUACUUGUUCAAACCCUGGACUGAACAUUCACUAGCACCGUGGCAGCAUGAUGGGGACCAAGUGGCCCCAAGAAAUGUGUGAUGUCAUAAGACUUGCCUCUGAGUGGGAAGGGAUGAUCCCAAACACAUCGUAAGAUUGGGCCAAAGCCUCUGCCCUAGCCCAGGUUUGUGCCAGCAGCUCUAGGCAGGCCCUGAGGUAUUUGAAAAGGGCUUUUGGGUUCUGGGGAGCCAGCCAGGCUAGAAGGUGUGAACAGAGAGGACCAAUGACCUCUAGGCUCCUGCUCUGCUCUCGGUUCCCGUCAACCGCCUGCCCACCCAGGCCCAGCUCGCUCAAUUAUUUAGGGAAAAAAUCCAAAGUCCGUCACCCUCCACCUGCCAGGUACAUAGGUAACCCAGAGGCAUUCUGGACCAGAGAAACCAAAUCCAAAGCCAGAUCCAAAGUUCUCUAAAAUGCUUUAACACACUGGCUGACCCCACAGUCCUCUCUGGGCCUUCCUUUCUACACCCAUAAG
rnacentral:lncRNA from 1 species